rnacentral:sRNA from 1 species
UCGCCGUUGCUACCGGGCAACGCGCCCACGC